AGACAAAAAGUAAAAAUACACAUAGGUCAAUUAUUUAGGAAAUCUCUUAGGUCCAAAAUUUAUAAGGUCUCUAUCUCUCCUUUGAUUGCUCAACAGUUCUCUCCUCUGUUACACUCUCUCUUCAGAGAAUUUCACUCAUCAACAAGAGCUAUUCAUAGGAUUUUAAGAUAAUACAAUUUUCAAGAUCUGAAGAAAGCUAUCUGUUGCAAGUUUCAAUUUUAGAGAGAGAAGAUGUCAUCAUCAUAUGAAGGGAGGUAUAAUUUGUAUAGCCAAGGUAGUAGUGGGUGGACAUCAAUGAGGAAUGAAGAAUUUCAAGAAGAAGACAUUUGGAGUCAUUUUACUAACGAAAGACGCGAAAUUGACUCUAAUUUCAGCAAAAGUAAAGAGUUAUCUUCAAAUUUCAGUCCAAGGAGGCUUCCCACUGCAGUCAAAAUGAUCCCAAGGUCAAACAAAAAUUCCGGUCACGAACCUAAAAUAGCUCAGCAAUCAGCCCCAGUAAACAUACCCAAUUGGUCAAAAAUUUAUGGGACGAGCUCAAAACAAGCAGAUGAUUCUGGUGGUGGAGGAUACAGUUUUGUGAGAAAUAAUUGCGAAAGCGAUGAUGAAGAAGAUGAUAAUGAUGGAGGAGAAACGAUGCCUCCACAUCAAUGGCUUGCUAAAAAACAUGAAAGGAGCCAAAUAACUUCUUUUUCAGUGUGUGAAGGCAUUGGAAGAACUUUAAAAGGCAGAGAUUUGAGCAGGGUGAGAAAUGCAAUCUUAAGCAAAACAGGGUUCCUUGAAUAGCAUGAGCUUAAAUAGGAGCAAUAGGUACUGAGAAUUCAUAUAGUUGAUCCAAAUUUGUUUAGAAUUGAGCGUAAUUUUUAUUACUGUUGUAUUAUAGUCGUAUAAAUGAUGUGGUGAUGGUUGAUAAUCGUAAGGCAUUAGCAGUAGGAUUUGAUUAGUAAUGGAAUUAACGUUGAAAUUGCA